GCCAAGGUGGCUCAGUUGGUAGAGCGGCGCACUCGUAAUGCGCAGGUCCGCGGUUCGAUUCCGCGCCUUGGCU
rnacentral:tRNA from 1 species